GACUCCUUGAAAAAUAAGGAGCCAGACCUGCUCAAUGAAGAUUUUAAAUAGCCGCAGUAUCCUGACUGUGCAAAGGUAGCAUAAUCAUUUGUUUAUUAAUUGUAAACUUGUAUGAAUGGUUUAAGCGUUAAAGACUGUCUCUAAAAUAAUUUAUUGAAUUUAACUUUAAGGUGAAGAGGCCUUAAUUAAAAAAAAAGACAAGAAGACCCUAAAAGUUUUAUUUGAUAAUAGAAUAUAAUUUGGUUGGGGCAACUGAGUAACAUUACGAGCUUACUUAAAAAUUAAAAAUUUUUGUUGAUCCAUUUUUAAAUGACUACAGAAAAACUACUUUAGGGAUAACAGCAUAAUGUUUUUUUAGAGUUCUUAUCGAAAAAAGCGUUUGUGACCUCGAUGUUGGACUAAAGUUUCCUAUUGAUGUAGCA
rnacentral:rRNA from 1 species